AAUCUUGGACAAUGGGGGGAACCCUGAUCCAGCCAUGCCGCGCGUGUGAAGAAGGCCUUCGGAUUGUAAAGUACUUCUAGUUGGGCGGAAGAGUCGUAGGCAAAUACCUUGCAAGUAUGACGUUACCAACAUAAUAAACACCGGCCAAUCUCGUGUCAGCAGCCGCGGUAAUCCGCAGGGUACAAGCGUUAAUCGGAAUUACUGGGCGUAAAGCGCGCGUAGGUGGUUCGUUAAGUUGGAAGUGAAAGCCCCGGGCUUAACCUGGGAAUUGCUUUCAAAACUGACGAGCUAGAGUACGGUAGAGGGUAGUGGAAUUUCCUGUGUAGCGGUGAAAUGCGUAGAUAUAGGAAGGAACACCAGUGGCGAAGGCGACCACCUGGGCUAAUACUGACACUGAGGUGCGAAAGCGUGGGGAGCAAACAGG
rnacentral:rRNA from 1 species